rnacentral:misc_RNA from 1 species
AAGUCGUAACAAGGUUUCCGUAGGUGAACCUGCGGAAGGAUCAUUAACACGUAUCCAACGUUAAACAACCCCGUGAACCUUCAGCCUGCUCUCGUAGCCCACUGUUACGAUGUGAGAAGUUACAGUUACGAUCGAGCGGUAGAGUCAGUGGCAUGGCGUCCCCAAGCAGAAUCCAGAGAAUGAAAGGAUCACUGGCUGCGCAAGGAUAACGCCUCACGGUUGCUAGAGGUCGAUCACCGACCGGCAGACAUGUCACAGGGUCCCCAUGCCCCUUACCUCACCCCACUACUAAUGACUAGCUUAGCGGUAACGCGCUGAGUAAAAAAAAACCGAACAACUGUUAACAAUGGAUAUCUUGGUUCUC